CCGUGGCCAGGAGGACAAAAUCUAGACGUCAAGUCCCCGUGCGUCAGCUCGGCACCAGGAAGCGAGUCUUGGUCUGCAAGGGGUGGCAAUUCAGCCACUGAAAAUGACUGGGGUUUGUCCAGGCCCCAGGAUCUCCGAGGUCUGACACUGAGGGAAGAGACAGGAUCUGGGACAGACUGCGGUCCCCGAUCCUGGAGCAGACCUCUCUGUGGCCUUGGCAAGAGACAGCUCUGCACUGCAGCUCCAUCUCCUUGCUGGUCACCCACGACGCUGUGCUGGCCACCCAGGGCCACCUGGUGCCUUCCCAAAAAGACUGGUAAACAGUCACCAGAAUCCCGCCUCACAGGGAUGGCUGGCUCCUUUGGAGGGUGAAGAUGGAGGAGAAAUAUGCUCAAGACAGAAGGAAGAUGCAGCACAGACCUCGCUCCCCAGGUGCUGCAAGGAGUAAACACACAGCGGCUCAUGGCCUUGCCAGAGGCCCGGACACUCGCGUUGGGCACAGCCGUUGUCUUCCUCAGUUCUUCUUAGGGAAGUCUUGUGAUUCCUAAGUUCCAAGUCAAAAACUCCACUCCGAGGUAGGAGGAAAAGAAAUAUACAAAUAUCCACCUCUGUCUGGGCAGGCCCAGCCUUUUGAUAAACAAAAUUUGUUCUGCCUGUGUUUCUGUGUGCAAGACGGGGACACGAGGCUCAGUGCAACCAACAAGGAAAGCCAUCAGCGUGCCAGGAGUGGCCUUCGUGGGAAUCAGUCCCCAUUCAAAGGCCAGCCAUGCAGAACACGCACUGGCUCUGUGGCAGACUGAGGAGGGAAGGACAACUUGGUUGGACGGGAGGCCAUGUUGGAACUGUCGCUUUGCUGGCCUUCCUUCCUGUCCAGGGCCAGGAACUGGGCCCAGCAGGUUUGUCGAGACAGAGACUUGGAGCCUUGAAACCCAGGAAUUCUCUGGGGAUCAUGAGCUGAAGCAGAGCAUAACCUCAGGAGGCCAAGCAGGAUGCCCACUCGACCCUGGGCUGACCAUCUCAGGUAGCAGGACUAGGAGUCAAGGGUCUCAGGGCCUGGCAGGGCCACACGGACUGGGAGCUGAUGGUUGAAAGGCAAGGAGACACAGCCGAGGGGACCCAUUUCCCAGAGCGGAGGGACCAUGGAGCAGAGGAAGGCAGGUAGAUCAGCGCAGCUCCACACAGCUCAGCGUCAGGCACAAACCCAAAGGGCAGAUGUCAGCUUCCAAGCGGGAGCAGGGAAGGGUACCUCUCAGAAACAUUUCCUAAUCCAUGAAAAGUGUGAUGGAGCAAGAGAGAAAUGAGAAUGAAAGACAGGGCAGCACCAGGAAGGCCCAGAGCCCUGGGUGAGAAACGAGGCGUUGUAACUGCAGUGGGGCCUGGGCAGCGAUGUCUGGGGGCCUGGCCAGGCAGGGAGGCUUGGGGGCUGAUGGGCACUAGGUUCCCCUAGGAGGACCCCAGCCAGCAUCACCCACCUCCAGAGGCAGAAGGCCACUGGUUCAACUCCACGAGCCACCUGCUGCAGCCCGAUUAGGCCUAUGUCAGGGACUCGGGCUCCUACUCACACCAUCCAACUCUUACCUGCAUCUGCCUGUACAGAGCAGGGCCUUCACAAACACUGACUAAUGAAUGAGGGGACAGCUAUCUCCUUAUAGCUGCCACCUAUGGAAUCUCACUUUACCCCAAGGAGAUCACACAAAAUAAGACAUGAGGUGACAUAUUAUGCAUACUAUUCUCAGUAAUAUGAUAUAUGAAAUGAUAUAAUAUAUGAUGUGAUGUACUACACAAUACAAUGUGUGAUAUAAUGUGAUAUAUGAUGUGAUAUAUAUGAUGUGAUAUAUACAAUGUGAAGUGAUACGACAUAUGAUACAUGAUAUGAUGUGAUAGAUGACUGAUGUGAUAUUUUAUGUGAUAUAUGAUAAUAUAUAUAUGUGUGAUACAGUACAUUAUAUAUGAUGUGAUAUAUGAUAUGUCAUGCUGUGUGAAAUGGUACAGCAUAUAUAUGAUAUGACAUGAUAUAAUGUAAGAUAUAUAAUGUGAUAUAUGAUAUGCUAUGCUAUGAUUGAUAUGUGAUAUAAUACUGUAUGAUAUAUACUGUGAUAUAUAGCAUGAUAUGAUGUGAAGUGAUAGAGCAUACAUGUGAUAAAUGAUGUGAUGUGCUAUGAUAUGAUGUAUGAUGUGAUAGAUGACAUGAUGUGAUAGAUGACAUGAUGUUAUAUAUGACACCCUUUCAGAGAACAGAAGACGUCAUUGAGUUUCUAUCCAAGUCAUUUCCCGCCAGGCAUCUUUCCUUCCUCCUUGGUUCUGACCAACCUCUCCUCCAAUCCGCUUCUUUAUCUAGAGCAGAGGCUCUCGUGUUUGGCUGCACAUUGAAAUCACUUGGGAGGCUUUUCCACCCUCCAAUACUAGACCACAGCCCAGACCAGCUGUGCGGGCUCUCAGGGCAGAGCAGGCAUCGGGGAUUUGAUUCUCCCGGGCGAGCCAACAAGCAGCACACUGGAGAACCACUGCACCACAGGGCUCCGCUUCGCUCACAGCUCCCUGGGAAGCAGGGUACCAGGCUGAGUGUGCUGGGGAGGUGUUGCCUCCCUCCUCCUGAACGCCCUGCUUCUACACACAGUCUGCAGGCGCGUGGUUUCCUGUGGUCCACCUCACACGGAUGGCGCAGUAAGCCUGCUGUUUAUCCCCACCUCUAAAGCCUCUCUGUUUAGAUAUUCUCUCUGUGCAUUCUAUCGCCACAUCUUCCUCAUAGGAUUUUUGUGCUGUUACUUCUCUGCUCCCAGGUGUGGAAGUAACAGCUACACCUGUUAGCCCAAUCUCGCUGGACAAUCCCCAUCUCCACACUGCUGAGGGCUUGGAAUGUGGAUCUAUGCUCCCUCCAUCACUCAACCUCCCAGCUCCACACCUUCACUAACUAGGCGGAGGCCCCUCAAUUCCUCAUCCCAGUUACUGACAAGGUCCGUGAAGAGACAAGGCUGGCCAAGACACAGGCAGGCCAGGCCCACAAUGUUCCAGGAUACUCACCUGCUCCACCCAACCCUCUCUCCACAGACAGCACCUGAGACCUGGCCACCUGCCCACAAGAAGACAGCACAUGCGGCUCCUUUUCAAGUGGACUUCUGCUGGAUUUGAGCCGAGCUUUCCCCAGUUGGCUCCCUGAAAGUCUUAUCUGGCUAGGCUAUCAAGGUAGUGUCCUUUUGCAUGACGAAUGCAGACCUGAUGACACCUGGGGUUACAUGCCGAAGAAACGCAUUCCAACAACAUCCAAGGAGGGAUCACGGAGGCACAGCGCCACGGAGCAGGUGGCACCUCCUCCACCCAGCACCUCACCACGUGGCAUCAGUUCUCUGCAGCCAUGGAACGAGUGGCCCACCUCGGACACACUGACGGGGACAAGGCAGGCCUGCGUGGGGCCCAUCUGAGGUGAAAAGUGGUGACUGUCCACGACUGAUGUGGAUGAGGUCCCUGAGGCACUCACGUGAUGGUGUCGAUCAUGUCCAGGCCCAUCUCCACACAGCAAUGGGCGUGGUCAGUCUUGGGCUGGGUGAGGCCAGACACGCAGUAGUAACAGUCUCCGAGGAUCUUGAUGCGGCGGCAGUGGUUCUCCUUCAGGGUGAGAGGACAAAGCACACGUUAGUGAUGCACCUCAGGCCGGGUACCUGCACUUUCGCCACCACUAGAUGCCAGUGACCACGGAGCAGGUGCACAUCUCACACCAGGGGCCCACACCCUGACCCAGGGCGGCCCCCUGGUUGUGAUCUGGAUUGCCCUGGGGCAUCCACACUUCCCCUACGCUGCACGCCUACUCCAGCAGGAGUCUACUCCCCCCACCCCUCAGCUCACCCGGCCAACCCACGACCCUUCAAGGUCAGGAAGCUGCUCAAGGCUGGGGAGCCAGGUCCUCUCCUGAGGAGGGCUAGCACCAGGCCCUCUUGACCACCAUCGCAGAUCACCAUGUGCUGGCCCUUCUGGAAAGUGCUAGACUCCCACAGUGCCCAGGAAGGCAGGUCACACACACCUGAGCAUCUCCAUGGCUUUCUGCCCUGAGUCAAGGUCCACAGGACGUGGGAGCGGCUGUCCCCAAAGAGCUACCUGCUGGGGCCUGAGCCCCCGAGGGAACUGCCAAGGUCUCAGCCCUGACCUCGCCGCCCACAGAGACACCUCGGAAGGCAUCCAACACCACAGAAUGUCCACCCUCACAUUUAUACAACGAUCAGAAUGUCAGCACCCACCUCGCCAUCAUUUUGGGGGAUGGAGAGAGAAAUGUCCAACGCUUACCACCACCUGUCAUGUGCCAACCCACCCAUGUCAGCUGUGAUCAGGACUGUCACUGCAGUUUUAUUCCACGGAAGGCAUUAAAGCAGCAGUUCUAGAACAUUCCAUCUUCAGCACCCCUUUACCCUCCUAAAACAACUGAGGACCUCACAAAAAACUCCCCUGUAAGUGGGUAUAGCCACAGAUAUUUACCACACAGGAAGCUACAACUGAGAAACUCUAAAAUGUAUUAAUGUAUUCAAACAUAACAAUAGCAAAUCUGUUACAUGUUAACAUAAGUAACAUAUUUCAUGAAAAAUUAUGACAUUUUCCAAAACAGAAACAAAUGGUGAGAAGCCUCGCAUUGUUCUCACUUUUGUGGAGACGCUGGACUCUUUGCUCUCAUUCCCUCCGUCGUGCCUUCUGCGUGCACCCCGUCUGUGAAGGGGUCGGCCUCACAGCACAUACCGGGAUGAGGGCCUCACAAACCCUGAGAGUCUCGUAAAGCCCAGAGCUCCGCGGACCCCGCUCUGAGAACACAUCCUAUAACUUACAGUUAAUUCUGCUCUCCUGUUUCUUAGAAAUGAGCUGAUUCUGCCAAUUUUAGGAAUGGAAUGAGUUAGUGCAAGUGCAUUUGGGAUGAGAGCUCUCUGCUCGCUUUCCACGCCCACAAGGCUCUCUGCAGGAGCUGAGGGCAGGGGAGGAGCCAGGGCCAGCAACGGGCUGCUCUUCAGCGAGAUGGCCCAGCGCACUGCCCCGCCUCCGAGAAGAGGGCACCCUCCACACAGAGGGCUCGGGGCCCAGCUCCUCCCAGCCCUGGGCCUCCCUCAGUGUGGAGAUGCCGGGGACACACAGAUGAAGGGGAGGAGGUAAGCAGAGGCUUCCACCUGUCGGAGCCCCCUCAGAAAGCCCAGGGACCUGGUCUGCUCCAUGCAGAAUCCCACAGGCUCCCCCUGUGCACAGGGAGCUGGCAGCACGGAGGUCCACUGUCUGGCCACUCAGCCUCCGAGUGACAAAAGUAACCACUUAACCGUUAGGACACUGGCCUCCCUGUCUGUGGAAGAGGUUCUCUCAGGCAGGCUGUGCAGGGGUUGACCUGGCCUGUGAUGGAGUCUGGGAGCCCAGAGCCAGGCAGCCGGGUGCAGGUGUUCCCCCUGUGGAGCUGAGGUCCAGGCCAUGCUUAUCCAAGCAUCCAGGCCAGCAGGCAACACCAGGUUCUCUCCUGGCACCUCGAGAAUGCCCAUCCCCCCGUCCCUAUCAUCAUUGUCCUGUGGCAGGGGUGCCCUCAGUCCCCAACAGUCAGAAGCAGGUCCAGACACUCCGUGCAGGCCAGGAGGGCAGCUCUUCCCUCAUCCUAUCUUCUACUUCAUACUCAGGCCGCCUUCACCAGACCCACAGGCCCAGGGACGAGAUAAGAGACCAUUGCCGGGUGUUGCCCCCUCCCUCCCAUCUCCUCCCUGGGCACAGAGACCGUCUGCGGAGAGCUCCUGACUGUGAUGGUCUGACUCCUCAGGCUCUUCUCUCAGCAGCCCAUCUGGGGCUUCCAGACCUCUCCCUCCGAGGAGCCCAUGGCAGUGACAGCACCUACUGGCAUGCAAGCACUAUUCUUGCAGACAAUUUCGAGAGGGUCACGAAGCCCAAUUCUGGGGACUUCAAAGGUGGCAUGUGUCUCUGCCCAUCAGCAUCUCCUUGGGGCAUGAGCCUAGGCAACUGUAAGCUUCCCUAUGCACCCCAGCUGGCUUUGUCAUGUUCCUGGCUGUCUCCAGGACUCAUAACCCAAGGCCUCCUGUUCAUCUCUGUGUGGCCCUGACAAGCCCCUCCCUGGGAUGAGCAGGUGUUUGGUACGAGGCCCCUGAACGGCAGCAGGUGUGUAUGUGAAUGACGGGCAGCUUGUAAGAAACAGUAUUGCCAUCAGAUUCAAAGGUGGAUCCGGGGCCGUGAGGGGCACUGCCCCAAAGAGCCACCCUCCAUGACACAGAGACUAGGGGUGGGGCUGCCCCAGAAAAGGGGCGGGAGGGUGGGAUCGCCGAUGACAGGCUCCGCAGGACAGGUGCUGCUGGAAGAAGGAGGUGUAAACAGAGAGCCGUGAUGAAGGCAGGUGGACCCCCCGGGAGCUUCAGGUGUGACCGUCUCUGAGGAAUGACCCAAGGCAAAGGCACCAGCAGGCACUCUCCAGUAGCCGCGGGAGCCCGGCCGGCCUCACAGGUAGACAAGGUCCGCCGGCUUCCGUGAGUUUCGGAAAGAACAGCCAUCCUCAGCAGGACCCGUCAGCACACACGCAUCUGGGUGCAUAACUACAGCCCACUGGCCACAGAUGUGUCCUUGCCAACUGUCCUGAGAUGCAAAGCCAUGUCCCUCCCUGGCCGGAUGCACCACAGGGUGGCCAACACUGCCCAGAACAAAUCAUGGACUUAAAAUGCUGACGCAUCGUCCUGUUUUUUAAAAUCUCAAAUGUCCUGGCUUUUGUUAGCAAGCUUAAGAGACCAAAAAGGUGUUUUUCAUUGGUUCUGGUGUUUUUGAUUUCAAAAUCAUCCCUAUAAAUACGGAAAGCCAGCACCUAGAGCUCCCCUUAGGGGAGCGCCUGUGAUGCGUGAACAGCUGUUUCCCAGCCAAAGAAAGGGAGGAAAAGGAGGACAGGAGUUGAAGGGGCUCACUGGAAAGGACGAGAGUGGCAGGACAUGAGGACAGAAGCCCCUCAGAGCCCCAGGGGGCUUGGGAGGAUCCAGCUAGGAGGGAGGGUCUCAUACUUCGUCCCAGGCUGUGAUCUGCAGGCUCGCAGAUGAACUCUGGACACAGCUGGCCCUGCCUGUGUGCGCAGCCACGGGCAGGGCCUCGGACAGCAGAGACCCACUUGCUCUGGCAUGCUGCAACCCUGCCCGCCCAGACCCCUCAGGCUGAGGAAGAAGCAGAGAAUUCAGCGGCAUCAGGAAGCCCCACUGCGAUUCCAGAACCCGAAGACGCCCAAGCCUCCCUGAGAUCAGCUCUGAAACGGUGGGGUCCAGCGAGCCCCGAGGUAGACACGUGGACCUGGACUCGGGGAAAGCAGGUCAGCUUCCGGGACCUGGGGCACCCCCGGGGGAAGGGCGGGUGCAGAGGGAGAGCUAGAAAUGAUCCUCUUUAUGCCCAGAGUGGCUGCAUCCAAAACCCAACUGGCCAAGUCAUAUUAACUUUGUAAGAUUAAGUGUGGGGCUAUCAAUGGAAAAAUGGAAUCAGAAAUUUUAGAAAGUUAUAUUUCUAAGCAGCUGUCUUGACUAUUAUGACAUACGUGUUUAACCUGCUGCGUCCACACAAAAUUGAAAAGCAACACACUGAAAUAUAAGCCGUGGCUAUCGCUGGAAGGUAGGAGAAAUAAUCAUUUUGACUUGAAUUUUCAUAAGUCAUUCCUGCACAGUUCCUUUUACUGAGCCCCAUAUGUGCCAGCCCCUGCACUUGUGGAGCUGCCUGCCCUUGGGGAGGGACAGCACAGAAGCAGCAAAGCCAGAACCCAAGAAGCCUGCAGACGUCUGUCCUGCAGCGGGGACUGUGGGAUCAACCCAGUACUGGAAGUCUCUCCAGCCUCAAUAGGCCCAAGAGAAGUCAACGUGCCCUGUCGGGGCACACUCUAGAAGUAAACAGUCACGCGUAGUACACAUUUGCUCCUGGUACCCAAAGGGAACAACGAAGAGGCAACCCCAACCCGAGCACGGAUACCCAACGCAUGGGCGGGGGGCGACGGUGGGAAGGGAGCCCUCUCCCGAAGUAGCUUGUCUUAGAGCCUGCACUGAGGGCUGGAGCCAUGCAAACACCUUAUGUACUUAAAGAGAAAAAUUAAAUGGAAAACAGUGAUGCCUAAAAAUCAAAACUAAAAUGAAAUAAACCUAACUGUGACCACGUUGGCAGCAUGACCACACAGAGGAGAAUUAUUCCAAGUGACAUGAAAAUACAUCUUGACCAUCUAUCUAGUGGCAUAUAAUCCAAAGACAAAAUAAUCAAAGAAACAACUAGAGGAAUCUUAAAUUACACUCAGUGGUCUGUUAGGACGUUGUCAACGUUAUUUUGAACCCACUGUAUAUAAAAGGAUGAAACAAACUGUAUUACUGUUUUUAGGAUUUCCAGCAUCAAGGAAAAGAGACACAAAUAUAAAAAUCAAAGGAGUGAACUUAAGAAAAUUGGAAAUAAGAAUUUGUUUUUAUUUUUCUAAAAAAAUCUCUCAUCUCUGUCUCCUGUAAAGUCUCAGGACCAAUGACAACCAAGAUGAUGGGCUGGAGAAACCAUUUCCCCCAAAAGAAACUAGAGCUUCUAGAAAAUGCCGAGUCUGUGGGUGAGGCAGCAACAUCCUGCUGCCCCUAAGAGGCACUCAGAGGUGACGCGCCGUGUCAACAGGGCAGGAAGCAACCUCAUAGGUCACCCCUUUGGAGUGACUAAGGCACCAAUUACUUAUUCUGAAAACCGUCAAACAAAUGAAAAGCAUCAAGCAUUUACUGUUUUUGAGGAUAACCAAAGAGCUGAUGAGUAAAUCAUCUUCUUUUUAGAAGAACCACAAGCUAAUAAAUGCAGAAGAAAUGACAGAAUCAGAAAACCACCAUUGUGCAAACCCAAGUGAAAUGCCAAUGGGCUAGGCCUCGAGGCAGCCACUGUGAGACCCUUGGCGUGAUGUCUGGGAAGGGGUAGCGGGCGGGUCAUGCUGCCAGCAUGAGAACCCCCAAUCCGAGCAACCUGGCGGGAGGCCGGCAAGUGGCCAUGCAUGGCUCCAGGGAAGGGUCGGCAAUACAAACGAACAAACUGGAGACCUAAGUCAGGUCUCCAAGGUCUGCGGGUUCAGGGGAGGUGCAGGGGUGGGAGGAGCACAUGGUACAGCCACUGUCACUGUCAGGGUAAGCCGCCACAAAGGGCAGGGGCGCUGAAAAAGAUUAUACAGAAAAAAACAAAAACAAGAAAUAUGUCAUAUAUCUGCUGAGUGCAACGUGUGCAUUCAUCCUGUUUUCUGUUUUUUGUAUUCUAUGAUGGUUUGACACCUUGGGGGCCUCCCAGGGUUGGCUAAUUCCUGGGGACAGUAAACAGCUCGUUCUUAUUCCCACGAGCUGAUCCAGAGUCCACACCCCUCCACCUCCACUAUCUGACUCUGACACUCCGACCACUACCCCCCUGCCCAUCACCAGGCAGGGGCCAGACAACAGGGGACACCCCACAGCCCAGAGCCCCCAUUACCCAGACUGGCCAGUCCUGUGCCUGCCUCGACCCUUCCUUCUCAUGGGAAACCCCAACAGAGCCAGCCACGCUCCCCACCCCCUCUGCCCCUGCGCCUGGUGCUCCCUGCAGCCCUGCUGGCCCCCUCCUCUCAGAGACCGUGAAUGAUAAAGCUUGUCAAUGGCACUAGCCUCUGGGUCAUCACUCAGUCCCUCUAUAAACUAAAAUCCACAGGUACAAUCCAGACAAGUGCCCGCCUCACUGCUAUCCUGACUGGAACAAACUAGCUGUGGUAAAGAGACUCAUGAGACAAGCAGGGUGGCCGAGCCCAGAGCAGGAGUUAGAAACACUCCCCUGUGAUCAGGUUGGUGGGUGUGACAGAGGCGUCAGGUGGAGCUAGCUGGAAGGUGUGCAAUGAAAGAGCUCCUCUCCAAGGGUGUAAGGACUCGGUGCAGUGACCUCUAGGAUCGGGGGAGGAGCGUGCGCAGACCACACAGGACUGGCUGAUCGUUAGCUACUGUUGAGCGUGGUUUGGGGGUGCCUGGGGGGUGUUAUGUUACUGUCUCUACCUUUGUGCACCUGUGAAAUUUUCAUAAAACGAGUUCUAAAACCCUCAA